AAAUCUACAGGAAAGACUGCAACAGGACAGAUCUGCAAGGUCUGGUUCUAUCUAUCUUUUUUCCUAUCUAGAAUACCCUGAUUUAAGAUUUAUGAAUUGAAAGACCUCGAUCCAGGCCUGAUCUGGUUGGGUACCAGAUCUUGAAUUUUUUAGAGGUGAUCUUAGAGGCUUUCUCCAUCUGAAAUGAAAGGCUAACGAAGAAGACAGCGAUCAGGCUGAUUUCGUCAAGGGCCU
rnacentral:lncRNA from 1 species